UCUUUCACCCACACAACUACAACUUUUCUCUUUGUUUCCUAGAAAUUUCACACAAUUAGACUUUAUUAUAUAAACUCAGCAAAACACCCUCUUCUUUCUCCAACAUCCAUUUUUCUCCUUUCUCUUCUCUGAAUAUCUCUUAAAUUUUCAUUGAAAUAUUUCACUUGUGUUAUUGUGUAAAAUACAAAAUUUUGUUUCUGAAUUUGAAGAUGAAUUCAGUGAGAUUGAUGAACCUCUCAUAUAUAAUUAUUGGAUUCAUGUUGAUGGCACUUGUUGAGUUUGGUUUUGGACAAGGCAUGGCUCCUUCUUCUGCCCCUCCUCCUUCUAAUGAUGGCACAGCAAUCGAUCAAGGGGUUGCUUAUGUUCUUCUACUUGUUGCACUCGCAAUUACGUACUUGGUCCAUUAAUACACUUAUAUGGAGUAUUGUUCUUUUUUAGCUAAUUGAUUUGUUCAUUCAUUAUUUAAGUUGUUUAUGUAUUUUUCUCCUGUUAUUCAGAAAGGAAAAAUUUCAGAGUUUUGCUAUCAAAGGAAGUGACUAGUGAGGAAAGAAUACUUAUUUGUAAUACAAAAUUCAGUUUACUCUA